rnacentral:sRNA from 1 species
CAAGUACUCGAUGGAGCGUUUAAAGAA